rnacentral:rRNA from 1 species
GACGAACGCUGGCGGCGUGCUUAACACAUGCAAGUCGAGCGGGAACCUUCGGUUUCCAGCGGCGGACGGGUGAGUAACACGUGGGCAACCUGCCUCACAAUGAGGGAUAGCCUUCCGAAAGGAAGAUUAAUACCUCAUAACACAAGAGAAACACAUGUUUCUCUUGCCAAAGAAUUUCGUUGUGAGAUGGGCUCGCGGCGCAUUAGCUUGUUGGUGAGGUCAAGGCUCACCAAGGCUGCGAUGCGUAGCCGACCUGAGAGGGUGAUCGGCAACAUUGGAACUGAGACACGGUCCAGACUCCUACGGGAGGCAGCAGUGGGGAAUAUUGCACAAUGGAGGAAACUCUGAUGCAGCAACGCCGCGUGAGUGAUGAAGGUCUUCGGAUUGUAAAGCUCUGUCUUCUGGGACGAUAAUGACGGUACCAGAGGAGGAAGCCACGGCUAACUACGUGCCAGCAGCCGCAGUAA